GUUAUGGACAUGGUGUCUUGGACAAGAACUUAUUUAAAGUUGAAGCUUCUCAGAGGAGGGCAGGGCAGGGUGGAUGCCAGAGUCCAAAGCCCUGUAUUUCUGUCCUCUUUCUGCUGCUGCCAUGUUGUAACCCCUAACAAGUGAUUCUUUCUGGGCCUUCAUCAGCUCUUUCUCGUGUGGAACUCAUCGGCGAUGAGUAGAACGAAGACAUGUGAAAGGGAAGAAGAAUCCUGGAAAAGGGAGAUUUGGGACACUUCAAAAUGCAUAGGUGAUCAUCUUCAAGGGAAAGUAGAGAAAGCAGUUAAUGGAAAGGAAUCCCAAGAAGAGGAAGUGGAGUGUUCCUGCAUAGCAGGAAAAUAA
rnacentral:lncRNA from 1 species